CCUACGGGAGACAGCAGUGGGGGAUAUUGCACAAUGGGGGGAACCCUGAUGCAGCGACGCCGCGUGGGUGAAGGAGCGUUUCGGCGCGUAACGCCCUAUCGGCAGGGAAGAAGGAGACCGGUACCUGUCUAAGAAGCCCCGGCUAACUACGUGCCAGCAGCCCCGGUAAUACGUAGGGGGCAAGCGUUAUCAGGCUUUACUGGGUGUAAAGGGGGCGCAGACGGCAGGGCAAGCCAGGAGUGAAAGCCCGGGGCCAAACCCCGGGACUGCUCUUGGAACUGCGCGGCUGGAGUGCAGGAGGGGCAGGCGGAAUUCCUGGUGUAGCGGUGAAAUGCGUAGAUAUCAGGAGGAACACCGGUGGCGAAGGCGGCCUACUGGACUGCGACUGACGUUGAGGCCCGAAAGCGUGGGGAGCAAACAGGAUUAGAUACCCGGGUAGUC
rnacentral:rRNA from 1 species